rnacentral:rRNA from 1 species
AUUGAACGCUGGCGGAAUGCUUUACACAUGCAAGUCGAACGGCAGCACGGACUUCGGUCUGGUGGCGAGUGGCGAACGGGUGAGUAAUGUAUCGGAACGUGCCCAGUCGUGGGGGAUAACGUAGUGAAAAUUACGCUAAUGCCGCAUACGAUCUAUGGAUGAAAGCGGGGGAUCGCAAGACCUCGCGCGAUUGGAGCGGCCGAUAUCAGAUUAGGUAGUUGGUGGGGUAAAGGCCCACCAAGCCAACGAUCUGUAGCUGGUCUGGGAGGACGACCAGCCACACUGGAACUGAGACACGGUCCAGACUCCUACGGGGGGCAGCAGUGGGGAACUUUGGACAAUGGGCGAAAGCCUGAUCCAGCCAUUCCGCGUGCAGGAUGAAGGCCCUCGGGUUGUAAACUGCUUUUGUACAGAACGAAAAGGUUUCUACUAAUACUAGGAGCUCAUGACGGUACUGUAAGAAUAAGCACCGGCUAACUACGUGCCAGCAGCCGCCGUAA